rnacentral:rRNA from 1 species
UACGUAGGGGGCAAGCGUUGUCCGGAAUCAUUGGGCGUAAAGAGCGCGUAGGCGGUCCGGUAAGUCCGCUGUGAAAGUCAAGGGCUCAACCCUUGAAUGCCGGUGGAUACUGUCGGGCUAGAGUCCGGAAGAGGCGAGUGGAAUUCCUGGUGUAGCGGUGAAAUGCGCAGAUAUCAGGAGGAACACCAAUAGCGAAGGCAGCUCGCUGGGACGGUAUUGACGCUAAGGCGCGAAAGCGUGGGGAGCAAACAGG